UCAUGGCUAUUGAACCCUUUUUUAGGGUCUUUAUACUCACGUUAUAAAAUUUCAAACGAUUAGGUACACCUUUUUGUGUCACACCAGUUUUGUGAAAAAUUUCCUUAUCAACCGACCCCUCGGUUGCCUCUUUCUCGUCACCUUAACGGAAAAUCCGUAAUUAUAAGAUGAUGUAAUGGGAGUACAAGGGUACCUUUUUCAGGUAUCUGCGGUCAGGUGUCGACCCGGAGAAGCGACGGUACGGUAAUUGAGGACACCCUAUUAUCACAAAAUCUUAAUCAUCAUAAAAUCCCCAAAUUCUAAUAAUCAAUUUUGAAAUUUAACCCUUUGACCUAUAACCACGAGUCUGACUCAUGGCAAAGUCGCGCAAUUGGCAUAUAUCGUAUAGGCCAAGGGGUUAAUAAUCAACUAUGUAUUAGACAUUUUGACGACCAUACGUCAAAAAUGUGUAAUACAUAGUGGAUUAAUAAAUUUUAAUAAAAUCCUAAUCAUCAUAAAAUCCCCAAAUUCUAAUAAUCAAUUUUGAAAUUUUUUAAUCAACUAUGUAUUAGACAUUUUUGACGUAUAUCGUCAACGACAUGACAAGCGAGCAGGGUCGGUAAGCGUAGGUAAGCCACCACCGUCAACACUCACAUGGUAUUACCAUCACGAGUACAUGAGGCAGGGUUGCGCGAUCGUGUCUUGUGCUGCUCCCCGGUGCGGGAUGUUGACGGCUAAUGCACUUGCCACCUUUUACCUCUCAGUAGUGGCGCAACUCAUCUCUGUCAGAAAUGAGUUACUCCUGUAUAUAGCGACCCCUGUCAGCGAUUCAGCUCUCGGAUUGGGCGAGGCCGAGCCCACUUUUUCGACACAGAGAGUUCCAAGGACUAGCUGAAGCAGGGGCAUAAUCUUCAGAGAUGAGAGGUCUGCUAAAACAGCCUGAAAGCAAAUUUCAACUUUUCUAGAAGCUUCAUGUAAUACUUGGCAACGAUUCGAUAUUUUUGCUACGUCCUGAAUGUUCUACAUUAAUGACGCGGAUGGUCACGGCAAGGAGGGGUAUAAUUUCCAAGGAAUCAUAUCCGAGUACCAAAUCCCACAAGUACAGUAAUUGUUCUGGAGUAUUUUCCAGCGUAGCAGGCUUUCCCUGAAGAACGGCAUGAAUGACCUGACCCCCUGCACUUCUGUCCGUCGUCACAGGAGCCAGAACCUCAGAGUCUCUCGAGAAACAUAGCAUCGUCUUAUAUAAAACAUCUUCGAAGACAAAAUACUGGUCAUCGUUACUCGCAGUUAACUGGACAUCCUGAAAAUAUUAUUUUUGAGGAAAUUCUUGUGUUUUGGAGAUGUAUGGGAGAAGAAAAAAAAAUUCGUACAUUAUCCUUAACAACCGAACCCAAGACCAAGGACCAAAGUCGUCCUCUGAGAGCUCUGGGGCUUCCACGUUUCAAGAAUUCCUGUGCAAUG
rnacentral:lncRNA from 1 species